rnacentral:lncRNA from 1 species
ACGGACGGAUGAAGGGGGCUGGGAGGUAGGUGUCAAGGGAUGUGGUCGUACGCUUGUGUCUACGACUUGGCACAGGCUCUCAAACCGGAAGAGGGGGGCAUGGUGCACAUCGGUAACACACAUCAUUGAGACCUUCUUUCCUGUGGGUUAGUGGAUCACUCGUUUCAAGCAGCCGAUAGCUAGAGAGGUGGUAGUUGAAUUGACAAAAAAAAAAGCCAAAAAAAAUGGUUGUUGAGCACGGGAUCGAAUCAAGGAGCAUGCAGGGGAAACACAUUGCUCGAUAACACUGUGAUUAGUUUAGGAUUUGAAGAACAAUAAUCUUGCUUUACUGGUUCAUCUCUAUCUCUACUACUUAUAAAGGCACCAACUAUUUCUUUUCUACACAACCCCAAAAAUGUACACAGAUUAUUCUCCCACCUCUCUAUUAGGCCCACUAAAUCAACUUUAACAACCAACGUUAGCCUACUAAUAUUUUUCAUUGUGCACUUAGCAAGUAUUUAGCACCGAGGAUUUCCUACCUCUCCCCACACGGACUUCCAUCCUCGCAUAUUUUUUUCUCCCUGUCUAAAAAUCUAAAAAAAGGGGAAAAAGGUGAUAUGGGUGUGGGUGGCCCGAUCUUUCGAUGAGAUUGAUAACUCUCGAUUUGGGUAGGAGGUGACGUUGAUGAUCCGACUACGGCCUAGGAGGCAGCGCCUUAGCAAUCGAUACACCAACUCCAGAGGGUUAUUGAUCACGCGGGGGCACGAUCAACCUGACCACGAAGGUCUUUGUUCCUGCAAUCAAUCGAAGAACUAGCAAGAACAAGAUAAAUAGCGGAUGCAAUCUCAAAUUGCGAAUAUACUAUAUCAAACCA